rnacentral:rRNA from 1 species
AGAGUUUGAUCCUGGCUCAGAUUGAACGCUGGCGGCAUGCCUUACACAUGCAAGUCGAACGGCAGCACGGGUGCUUGCACCUGGUGGCGAGUGGCGAACGGGUGAGUAAUACAUCGGAACAUGUCCUGUAGUGGGGGAUAGCCCGGCGAAAGCCGGAUUAAUACCGCAUAACGAUCUUACGGAUGAAAGCGGGGGACCUUCGGGCCUCGCGCUAUAGGGUUGGCCGAAGGCUGAUUAGCUAGUUGGUGGGGUAAAGGCCCACCAAGGCGACGAAUCAGUAGCUGGUCUGAAAGGACGACCAGCCACACUGGGACUGAGACACGGCCCAGACUCCUACGGGAGGCAGCAGUGGGGAAUUUUGGACAAUGGGCGAAAGCCUGAUCCAGCAAUGCCGCGUGUGUGAAGAAGGCCUUCGGGUUGUAAAGCACUUUUGUCCGGAAAGAAAUCCUGAGGGCUAAUAUCCUUCGGGGAGACGGUACCGGAAGAAUAAGCACCGGCUAACUACGUGCCAGCAGCCGCGGUAAUACGUAGGGUGCGGGCGUUAAUCGGAAUUACUGGGCGUAAAGCGUGCGCAGGCGGUUUGUUAAGACCGAUGUGAAAUCCCCGGGCUCAACCUGGGAACUGCAUUGGUGACUGGCAAGCUAGAGUAUGGCANAGGGGGGUAGAAUUCCACGUGUAGCAGU